UGACUGGGAGGAAUGCAAAUCACCUGCAAAUGUGGCACAGCAAGCAGGAUAUAGAACAAAUGUGUGUCUUGGGGUUGUCUCCCACUGGAAAACCUUGCUCAACUUCAGUCCAUGAAGCUGCUUGCUGUGCAUGUCAGUUUGCCAUCCAGGAACUACCAGGAGAUAGAGAUCAAUUAACACAGUAUCAUACAGUGUGGCUGUUACCAUUUUGCAUUCCCACAAGCAAGGAAUGAGCGUUCCUGUUGCUCCACAUCCUCGCCAGCAUUUGAUGAUGUCAGUGCCUUGGGUUUUGGCCAUUCUAAUAGGUAUGUACUGCUCUCUCAUUGUUUUCAAUUGUCUUUUCAAAUCCAAAAUGUUUGAAGGAAGAGUCUCACAAAAUUCUCCAUGGUUAUUCCUUGCCACUUCUGUAUAAGUCUACCUAUUCUUCUCAAACCCCAAACUGAGGCUGAAUUUUACAUAAUAUGAUAUGAACUGAGAUAUGCA